AUAUUCCAGAAACCCGAUGCUGGCUCCCUCAUUUUCCAUAGACCUCAUCUUCAGUCCCUAAAGAAGAAAACGGUGACAAGAAAUCGGAAGUCCAAUGCAGUCUGUACUCUUCAUGGAUGAACUUCUCAUGUUAAGUGCAAGUAUUUAUAUGGUACAUGUCUGACAAAGGAAGCCUUCCUACAAUCAUUACUGAUUGGACAGCUCCUAUAGACAGCAUCAGUUUAUAAGUGUUUCCUUUCUGAUACACGUUACAGAAUACUGUAAAGAAAUUAUGAAAAUUAUAUUGAACAAAUCAAGAAGUGGUUCAAGUUUUUGAAAACCUCAAUUUAAAGUUUACAUAUUUUCAAAGUUGAAUAAUUUUACACUGGGGUGGGAAGUGAAGUAUAAAUAAACAUUUGCUUAAAGGUACUGAGUUGUGAUAAUUUUUCAUGGAAUGAGACUGUCAGGCAGUAGCAGUUAAAUUAAUAUAUACUGUACUUAAAAAAUUAAACACUUGAGAAAUAACCUUUUUAGCCACUGGAAAAUGGCAAAGUCUAAGACAUUUCAAUCAAGUUAAUUUGGGUAUUAGAGAAAUGCAUUUUCCCACCAGAAACUAUGUGAAGAAACAAAUUAAACAAAAUGGCCCUCCGGAUGCUCGGGUAGCCCUGGGCGAGGAGCGGCACCAUUGCUUGUCAAUUAGGUUAUUAUACACACACAUUCCCUCAUUUUAAAUCACGCCAAAGCUGAACGGUUGAAGGUAUAUCAAAAUGAAGCAUGACUUGCAAUUUAAAUGGUUUUUUGUUUCUUUGUUUUAACUUUCUUUUUACUCCUGGACAAAGGGUCCUGCUGGGUUUCUCAGGUUGGGCUGUCUAAUUUCUUAGCUCCAAAGAGCCUCCUGCCUCAGUCCCCUGCACAACAGCUGAGACUACAGGCUUGAACCCACUGUAGUAGCUUGAACCCACUGUAGUAGCUUGAACCCACUGUAGUAGCUUGAACCCACUGUAGUAGCUUGAACCCACUGUAGUAGCUUGAACCCACUGUAGUAGCUUGAACCCACUGUAGUAGGCUCAGAGUUUCUCUUUAACAAGCACUAACCUAGAGCAACUAGUCUAAUUCAGCUAUGUGUUCUAGGAUCUUUCCCUAGCUCACCCUGGCAUGCUAAAGUUCCUAGAACAAAAGUUCCUGAGCAGUCUUGGAAGUAGAAGAAGAGGCCAGGAGAACACUUUAACCAGCUCCGAAGUUACCUCAAAGACACCAGCAUGGAGACAGAUCAGUUUUUCUGGCCACACUAGCUGCAGGGCUCAGGCCCAGACUUCCCAAGGCAGGACAGUGGCAAUUUGGACAGGUUACUUAACUCCCUCACCCCACCCCAACUUCCGUUUCUUUUACUUGUCAAGGUCUAGCCUUGGACUGGGUCCCCAACAAAUAUGCAACAGACCCUGAGAGCUGCUCACAGCCCCACUACACUGCAGAAGGCAGGGAAGGCAGGCAGGCUGUCCUUUUGCUUUUGUUUUCAACAACACCUUGAGACUAAGAAACAACAGAAGUAACUUUAGGAUUGCCGUAGGAGCUGAGUGUUUCUGUUAAAUUAUUUAUUUUAUUUAUAUGAGUACACUGUCACUGACACAUCAGAAAAGGGCAUCAAAUACCAUUACAGAUGGUUGAGAUGAUGUGGUUGCUGGGAAUUGAACUCAGGGCCUCUGGAAGAGCAGUCAGUGCUCUUAACCACUGAGCCCUCUCUCCAGCAUGGAGCUGAGUUUUUAAGGGCUAGGUUAAAGCCCUUCAUCUAAAACCACCGAAUGUAGGCAGGCACAGGAGACCCGGUGACUUCAGUUUGGGCACAUAAAAUUUUCUACUAAAGAGAAAAUUCCUCUGACACCAGAGGGGGCAACUUUUUAAAAUAAGCAAUGUUAUAUAGAUCAGUAAUAUUUGAUUAGAUACUUCCUUAUAGUUGACCAGGCUCCAACAAGAAAGAUGAGUAGCAAAUCAGAAACACCACCAAAUGGGAAGUAGAUCUAACAUCCUGUUGCCUCUUGGUACAUUCUAUUGCCUGUUCAAAAUGGAGUCUCAUAAAGUCAGGUUACCUUGAAAUUCUUACAUUGAAAUGUUGGAAUUUAUAAUCAUGAGCCACCAAAUCUAACUUAGUAUCUUUUUCUCCUACAUGCUCAGUGGGCAAGAGCUUGUUGCUCUUGCAGAGGACCAGCACCCACAUGGUGGCUCACAACUGUCUGUAACUCCAAUUACUGGGGAUCUGACGCCCUCUUCUGGACUGCACAGGCACUGCAUUCAUAUAACAUACAUCCAUGCACUCAGGGCUGGGACUGCAGGCAAGUGCCAUGUGUCGCCUUGACCAGGACAUGGGAUGCUGGGGCUCAAAACCAAGAAUUCCUGCACAGCGGGCUGACGGCUGAGGCGGAAGGACGGUGAGCUCUAGGCCAGCCUGGACUACACAGUGAAGCCCAGCUUAAAAAAGAAAAAAACGGCCAGUGUCUUGGAGAAAACUGAGUUUCCAGCAGCUGGUACUCAUGUCCUUGUGACUCAGACAGCUUGGGCUCAUGAGCUCUACUCAGCUGACCUGUUGUAAUCGUCUGGGUAUAAAUUGUCUGAUGUUCUGAAUACGGCCAUGACACCAAGGAACCCCGCCUGAAAACUUCAGCUCAGACUUCAGACAACUGUGCUACAGCACGUACCAAUUUUACUGCACAUCUGACACAUUCUGUUCUUAUAGAAACAUAAUUGUUUAAUUAGAGAAAAUAAACGUUUUAAUAUUUUCCUACUAUCAUUCUUUAAUAUACAAGUACAAAUUAAUCUGUGUUUAAACUGUAUCAUGUUAGAACAUUUAUUUUUAAGUGAAUAUUUUCAAAUAAUAAAUAUUUUCAUUUUAAAAGGAAAAUUUUAAAAAUUAAAGGUGCUGAAUUGAACUG
ensembl:antisense Bcas3os1 breast carcinoma amplified sequence 3, opposite strand 1